rnacentral:rRNA from 1 species
UGGGGAAUAUUGCACAAUGGGCGCAAGCCUGAUGCAGCCAUGCCGCGUGUAUGAAGAAGGCCUUCGGGUUGUAAAGUACUUUCAGCGAGGAGGAAGGCGGUAAGGUUAAUAACCUUAUCGAUUGACGUUACUCGCAGAAGAAGCACCGGCUAACUCCGUGCCAGCAGCCGCGGUAAUACGGAGGGUGCAAGCGUUAAUCGGAAUUACUGGGCGUAAAGCGCACGCAGGCGGUCUGUCAAGUCGGAUGUGAAAUCCCCGGGCUCAACCUGGGAUCUGCAUUCGAAACUGGCAGGCUAGAGUCUUGUAGAGGGGGGUAGAAUUCCAGGUGUAGCGGUGAAAUGCGUAGAGAUCUGGAGGAAUACCGGUGGCGAAGGCGGCCCCCUGGACAAAGACUGACGCUCAGGUGCGAAAGCGUGGGGAGCAAACA